rnacentral:tRNA from 1 species
UCUAAUGUGGCAGAUUAGUGCAAUGGAUUUAAGCUCCAUAUAUAAAGUAAAUUCUUUCAUUAGAA